AUUGAACGCUGGCGGCAUGCUUUACACAUGCAAGUCGAACGGUAACAGGUUAAGCUGACGAGUGGCGAACGGGUGAGUAAUGCAUCGGAACGUGCCCGGUCGUGGGGGAUAACGCAGCGAAAGCUGCGCUAAUACCGCAUACGAUCUGAGGAUGAAAGCGGGGGACCGUAAGGCCUCGCGCGAUCGGAGCGGCCGAUGUCAGAGUAGGUAGUUGGUGGGGUAAAGGCUCACCAAGCCAACGAUCUGUAGCUGGUCUGAGAGGACGACCAGCCACACUGGGACUGAGACACGGCCCAGACUCCUACGGGAGGCAGCAGUGGGGAAUUUUGGACAAUGGGCGAAAGCCUGAUCCAGCAAUGCCGCGUGCAGGAAGAAGGCCUUCGGGUUGUAAACUGCUUUUGUACGGAGCGAAAAGGUCUCCUCUAAUACAGGGGGCUCAUGACGGUACCGUAAGAAUAAGCACCGGCUAACUACGUGCCAGCCGCCGCCGUAAAAC
rnacentral:rRNA from 1 species